AGUUGUUUUUGAGAGCAAAUACAAGAUGGCAGCAAGCAAUGUUGACCCGUGUGCAUGUGUUAAGAGCUGAUGUUUAAACCUUUUAUGUUGUGCCUUGGACAAGAUUUGUCCUUUUACGACGGUCUUAAGAGGGCAAUGGUUUGAGGCCAUUCUACAAAUAAAUCAGCUAAAAGAAACCAAGUUUGAUUAUUUGGAGCGUCGUUAACUCGCUGUCUAGCUGGUGAAAAACUAGAUGCUUCAGAGUGAGGACAGCACAGUAAAAGGACACUAGCGCAGCGGGCACAACCACGAGGAGCUACAUCCAGCAAGAUAACCAUGAGCCUACGGUCAGGAAAGCUGUAUCACCCAGGUCUACCAGAAGAAGAUGUAAUGCCAGACCCUACAGAACCAGGACAAGUGCACAACACAGACGAUGUGGACAGCACGGAGAACAAGGGAACCUUUGCACCUCCAGACCUCUAUUCAAAGCAAUGGAAGCAGGUACAGAGUCUGGCGGACACCUUUUGGAAACAGUGGAGGAGUGAAUAUCUUUCAACUCUACAGCAAAGGAGAAAAUGGACUGAUGAAAAAAAUGAAUGUAAAAGUCGGUGACAUUGUAUUACUGAAAGACGUGCUUGCACACAGAAAUGACUGGUCCAUGGGAAGAGUUGUAAAAACAUUUGAGAGUAAGGACAAAAAGGUUCGAAAAGCAGAAGUAAAGACUGUAAAAGAUGGAAAUGUGAAAAUGUUUUUGAGACCUGUUACAGACAUGGUUUUACUGUUAUCAGAAAAGUAGAUGUUGCAUUUUUUUUGUUAUUUACAUGUUGUUCUAAAGUUUGAUUUGUAGUGGCACAAUUGUAUUGUACCAGGCAGGGAGUAUUCUGCCCUUUGUAAUAAGUUUAAGUAGAAACACGUUUACAUGUAGUGCUUUACCUCCCUCUAAUGGUUGCAGUGGGAAGUUGUUUUUGAGAGCAAAUACAAGAUGGCAGCAAGCAAUGUUGACCCGUGUGCAUGUGUUAAGAGCUGAUGUUUAAACCUUUUAUGUUGUGCCUUGGACAAGAUUUGUCCUUUUACGACGGUCUUAAGAGGGCAAUGGUUUGAGGCCAUUCUACAAAUAAAUCAGCUAAAAGAAACCAAGUUUGAUUAUUUGGAGCGUCGUUAACUCGCUGUCUAGCUGG